AUCUCCACAAUGGAGGUGGUGAUGCCCAGCACACGGAGCUGUGAUGAGGAUUUAAUGGGGAAUCCAGAGCGUUUAUGGAAGUGCCAGGAGGCCAAGAUUCUGCAUAGACUCGAAAGAAAACCCCAAAGAGGAACCUAAACCUUCACGCUGCCUGCACCGAUUGGACCGGAGUGCUCAGGCUCGCGCCAACAAGUGUUUCAAAGAAGAAGCCAGACAGUGAAGGGGGAAGUGAGGGAGAAGCUGGAAAACUCUCAGGCUGACCAAUCGUCAGCCCAUUCAUUCAUUCGUUCAUUCAUCCAUCCAUCCGUCCGUCCGUCCAUCCAUCCAUUCUUUCUUUCCUCUGUCCAUUCAGUGAGAAGGGCUGAAUAUCACCUGUGAGCCUGCCCCUGCUCCCAAGAACACCCUUUGGACACCUGUGGGCUCUGCAAGGUUGGUGUAACCCCUACAGAUGAGGAAACCAGAGACAGAGAAGUGAAGUAACUCACGCAGGUGACGGCAGAGGGCAGUCAGGACUUGAACCUGGAGAGCCUGGCUCUAAAGCCCGAGCUGGAAUCUCGAUAUUCUACACCUCGAUAAGUUUUUGGGAAAUGACUGACUAAACAGAUGAACGCGUUUGCCCGCCCCCCCCCACCCCGCCCCAGAGCCCCCUUAAAGCCUACAUGUGGCAGUUUGGGCCCAUUUCCUUGGCUUCCUUCCCGGAGGGGCACCCACUGCCAGUGUCUCUGCUGAAAUUUAGCAUCAUAUUCCAUGGCGAUUUUCCACCAGUGGAAAUCACAGGUGUUCUCUGGUAUCACAGCGGGGUCAGGGAUGACCUGAAAUAUUGUUCAUGCUCAUCACAACUGCAUGGCCCACCGCGGGGUCUUGUCACUCAGUGAGUUCUUGAAGAGGCACAGACAAAUGGAGUUCAACAAAUGGAAAACAACUGCCUUUAAUUAGCUCCGAGGACUACAAAGGGAACAACGUUAUAAUAGCAGCAACUCCAAGGAAGCAGCCACAGCUCUCGGCUCUCAGACCUGGGGCUGCCGCUCAUCAUCAGCUACAGCUAGGUUUGAUGGGAGUGCCCCCACUUCAGGGGACAGCAGGCCCCCUUCACUCCCCGACUCAGUCCCCAUCUGCAGCAGCACAGCCUUCCUCGGCCUCACCAGGGAAGAAGAACAGGCCCCGCUCUCAGACAAGCCUUCCCAGAAGCCUGAGGACUCAAACACCCAAAUGUGUCUGGGUCCCUGCCCCGAGCCGGCCGCCCAGGCACCAGCCCUGAAUCACUCGGUCAGCCAGCGGCAGGGCAGGCCAAUGGGCUGGAGGGUAGGCAGGCAGGCAGACCCACCUCUGCAUCUCUGCUGACUGCCUCGGCUGAGGAAAGGCAGCACCAGCCCCCAACCCUGAAGUUCUAGAUCUCAUGCAGCCUCUCUGUUCUGGAACCAUCCAGAGGCACUGCCCUUAUACAUGGUCCACCCCCAGGCUCAGACAAUGAGAAUUCCACAAGCAGAGGGGACUCUAUUUGGGGCACAGAGAGGUUAAGUAACUCCCCUCCUAAGGUCUCUCAGCAAGGAAGCCACUGAGCCAUGGGACUUGAGCUCAGGGACUCUUGAUCCCCAGUCUCAGGUGUCACAGCCCCAUCUGGGCUCCUGCUAGGGAGGAGGAAGGCAGCAGGGGGUGUCUGAGGCCAGGGUGCAUCAGCCCUAAAUGCCAGACAGAGGCAGGAGAAGUCUCCCCAUGAGUCCCAGCCCCAUUAGAGGCUCCAGGUCGGGGAUCCCAGACCCCCUAUCCUUGCUGGGAGACACAACCCAGAACUCUGCAUCCCUGCAGCCACGAAAAAAGGCAAAAGCUGCCCAGAAACACUUUCUCCUCUUCCGUGGCCAAAUCCACGAACUUUCUCGAGGUCUGUCCCCCUGCCCCGUGCGGGUCCAGCUUCAGUGCAGCCCAGCUCUGUGCAGUUUUCCACAAAAGCCUGUGGCUUCCUUCUCCUCCCUCUGCUUCUGAUACCCCAGGAGUUACACACAAAAUGUCGGCGGUGGUCUCCAGGAAGACCCCUGCAUCCCACAGCUCUCCCCAGAAGUUGCCAGCAGUGACCUCCUGAGCCCAGGUGGGGAGUCCCAGGCAGGACAGGGGCUGGGGCUGCAGGCCCUGGGGCCCCGUUAGUGAAGCAGGAAGCCGAGGGUCCCUGAGAGUUUCCCUUGGCCCCUCUGAGGGCUGCCCUUUGAGGUCUUGAGGUCUUGGAGUAUCCAUCGCCCCCACGGCUUACUGUCCCCACCAGCGGAGGAUGAAAGUGCCACAGCGAUGUUCCACGCCAAGAGACCACAGAGACCACCAACCCCUCUUCCCACCUCAGGCUUUCAGAGGCCAGCGGAUUUAGGCGGACAGGCUGUGCGCUUGAGGGCAGCCGGGGCGGUCAGUGGAGGGACGUGGUCCGGGGCCUGGCCACAGCUCCCCACCCAGGGCCCUGGGCAAUUGUUACUCACCGCGGAUGAAGGUCGGGGAGUAGGUCGGGAAGGAGUCGAAGAUGCUGUUCGAUGCCAUGCCCCGCUCUGAAGAAGGCGAGAAUUUUCAGCCCUUCAGGGGGUUGGGUUGGGAUUCACUUGGUUGGCUGUUGUUGUUUUUUUUUUUUCCUCUAGCUACUUUUGAAAAUAAAAGGGGGGGAUGUUGC